rnacentral:misc_RNA from 1 species
UAUAUGUGGGGAUAAGCAUGUGACAGGCCUUGCCAGAGACCACGUUACCUGGAAAAACAUGCUCACGGUGGUGAUGUAAAUUUGUGGGGUCGGUCGGAGCUCGUAGGCAAAAAUCAUACAAAACGCACGCGCGCGCACGCACGCACGCACGCACAUAGCACAUAGCACAUAGCACAUUGCACUUUGCACUUAGCACUUGGCACCUUGGCAUCCUUGGCACUUGGCACUUUGCACUUAGCACUUACCGGUGGUUGGCUCUCUGCUUUUGCAACAACUUCCACCUGGCAUUCCUCUUCAGUUUUGCGUCAAGGUUGCAUUUCCUUGAGCGCUUUUGGUUUCCUGUGUUGCCUACCUACGUGACGGUAUCGUUUGAUUACAUCAAAGUCGUGUUUCAUCAUGUGUCAAUUGUAUGGCGUAGGAUGAACCUCAAAGCAGCUUUUAUGAUCCACCUUGUUGGUGCACAUGCAUCGAUUUUGUGGCUUAUUGAGUUUUGCUUGGUUUUCUGGAUACAGAACAUGAUAUGGGUGUGGGUCUCUCGUGUGAUCCUUGUUUUGCCCUUGUUGAGCGUUGUUAUUACUCUGAGACAACUGCCUAGCUCGAGUUGGCUUGUACCACUGGUGUAGGUUAUGGUGUUGAAGAGCAAUAAUAGCGUUCUUGCUUCUCUAAAACAGACGGCCUCGCCUGUAUUGGCUCGUACCAGCGGGUGGGCUAUGUCGAA